rnacentral:lncRNA from 1 species
UGAAACUUUGUCCUGUAUAAAGCAUCAAAAGUUGUUUAUACCAGACCAUGCAUCUAAGGAACUAACAUAUUCCAUUGAUAGUAACUGAAUUCGCUUGAUAGUGACAGCAGAAAUGCUGAAAGAUUGCACAAUUGCAGCCGAAAAAGGCAUGGAAUGUAUGGUAUAUCUAUAUGUUUUGAAUCUAGCCAAGAUCAAGUGAUGCACAGUGCACAUAGCACAAAAUCAACAGGCACCUGGUGCAAAUAUAUGGCAAGCAGUAAACAACUCAACAGUCUGUGUAACAUUUUUUAGCUUGUUAGGGGACAAAAUUGCAUAUAUUCACAAUCAAGUAAUUAUUCAAAUAAAAAGAAAGAAGGUAGGAAAUUUGAAGGGAACCGUUGCAAUUUGCACCGCAUGUAGUUGUAGUGAAACUAAUACCACCUCCAGAGUCCAGAAAGGCAAAGGAAAUGCAUGGGAUCAUCUAUUCAUUAAUUUGUGGGAUGCAAAUGAAUGGGCAUUAGAUAAGUUCUACAACUGUGCAAUGCACAACCUGAAACAGAUGACACUUUA